GUGAAGCAGCCACUGAGGUUACACAACAUUAAAAUCCACGAUAUUUUUCUGCAGUAUGUCCACUGUUGAUGUCAUGACCGCAUUUGAUUACAGUGAUUACCCGCGGAACAUUUUUAUUUACAGAUGCUUCAUAUAUGUCUCGGCUUACUUCAUCUCCCACCAGCGCUCCAUCCAUUCAUCCUUGCUGAUGUUCCCUGCAAACACCUGCCACCUCCAUUCCUCCAGCAUGUAGGUGAAUGGCAGCGUGGCCACGAUGGCUGUGGGGUGACAGACCACCUUGCGUCCAUCCUCAGGCUUAACCAGCAUGGAGUCCUUCCAGAAGUUUGGGAACAUCUCAUAAAGGCCCACAGACAUGAAGAAUUUCUCUGCUUCUUUGAAAAGCCGAAUCUCAUCCCAGCCCUGAAAUUCAAGUCGACAUUUUGAAGACGGUCUAUGUUCCAAUGUAGGAUUUUAAUGUUUGCAUGCACUAUAUUACAAACAUGUUUUAAAUAUCUAAUAUAUGUUAUAUGCUGUAUUGUCAUCAGUAUUGUUUCAAUACCACAAUCAACGGGUAUGAUUAAAUGUUUGAU